rnacentral:rRNA from 1 species
AUUGAACGCUGGCGGCAGGCCUAACACAUGCAAGUCGAGCGGAUGAAGGGAGCUUGCUCCUGGAUUCAGCGGCGGACGGGUGAGUAAUGCCUAGGAAUCUGCCUGGUAGUGGGGGAUAACGUCCGGAAACGGGCGCUAAUACCGCAUACGUCCUGAGGGAGAAAGUGGGGGAUCUUCGGACCUCACGCUAUCAGAUGAGCCUAGGUCGGAUUAGCUAGUUGGUGGGGUAAAGGCCUACCAAGGCGACGAUCCGUAACUGGUCUGAGAGGAUGAUCAGUCACACUGGAACUGAGACACGGUCCAGACUCCUACGGGAGGCAGCAGUGGGGAAUAUUGGACAAUGGGCGAAAGCCUGAUCCAGCCAUGCCGCGUGUGUGAAGAAGGUCUUCGGAUUGUAAAGCACUUUAAGUUGGGAGGAAGGGCAGUAAGUUAAUACCUUGCUGUUAUGACGUUACCAACAGAAUAAGCACCGGCUAACUUCGUG